AUGCGAUGAUGAGUGAAGUCUAGUCGGACCUGGUAUUGCCAUUGUGUUAGCUCUGUCUCUGACCAGGGCAUGACCCCUUAAUCUUCUCUCUGAGCUC
rnacentral:snoRNA from 15 species